rnacentral:lncRNA from 10 species
ACAAAAUACCUAAGUUAAAAAAAUACAAUUAAAAUACAAGCCUCUAAACUGCAGGUUAUACCACGGAUGUGAAUAUUUUAGAAAAUGUUAAUAGAAAAUUCUGAAAAACGUUACUGGAUAUUAAGUAAUAUCUCCUUUCUUCAAUCUUGUGAUUAACAGGACUUUUAUUGGUAGUAAACUAGAGCAAACAAUCAGAAUAAUACAUAUGCAGUAUUCAGUACACACAAUAAAAGUUAAAGAAAUUCAAAACCUGUAUAAAACAAACUGGAGAAAAAUCAUACAGCUUAAGAGAUACAGUGGUAAAGGUCCUCUCCAUCCUUUGAUUACAGCUUGUACUCUGUACUCAAUAGAACUUACCGCACUUACUGAAAUAAGAAAUAAACACUUUUUAGUACUCAGCGUAUUUAAGAUUAAGUACAUUUUCUAAGAAUCUUGCAAUGACAAGUUGGUGACCCUUUAGCUGCUAAAGCUAAAGGGAGGAAAGUGGGAAAAGGAAAUUAACUAAUACUUUGUAACCAUUUUUAAUAUUUCUUAUUUUCCAAACACUGCUUUUAUAACAGAAGUGUUUUACACUUGCACAAUAUUAAUUACUUUAUUAUACAUGGAAGCCUGCGGUAGGCUGAUUACACAAUAAGACUGCAAACAACCAGUGGUACUUUUCUGACGUCAGAAGAGUACAUAAGACUGAAACAUCACCAAAAGUACAUAAAAAACUCAUCAGCAUAAACAUCAAAGUACAUUAAAAAAUAUAAUCAGGAAAAAAAUACAAUUGCUAAAAAGCAGUUUUAGAGUAGAGCCACUGCCAAUCAGUAGCUUCAAAUGGCAAUUAGAGUUCAUAGCAAGUUUUGAUGACUUUACAAGACCCCUGUACAAUACUAAUGCACCCUUUCAUUAAAAUGUACAUUAAAGGCCGCAAUUUCACAAAGAGGUUCUGAUGUUAUUACUAUAAGCAGACACAUUCUUAUCCCUCACAGGAGUUAUGUCACCAGUUGGAAUUACAACCUUAUUAAUAUCUAUCCAAGAACACGGGGUUUUAUUACAUAUGGAAAUCUGUAUGGGUUUUUUUUUUUUUAAAGGUGGGUUUUGGGGAUGUUUACCCUAUUGUUUUUUAUUUGGAUGCCCUAAGGCAUAUAAAGCGCAUAGUGAAUUACCUACUGGAAUGUAAAUGGUUCUAAAAUUAAAACUGUUAAAAUAGAAAGAGGGAAAAGGAAGGCCCAAGAACUCUUAAAGAGAGGCUGAGAACAAGAACAAAAAAACCCAGAAGUGUAGGUAAUACGUAACAGCGCAGACAGAACCGUUGUAGGCCAUGUAUAUUAAAUGAUGAAAUGUAUAUCAUACUAUCUGUAAAUUGGAUAUUCCAUUACAGUGAUAACGUACAGAAUUCCCAUGCGUUAUUACACUUUCCUGAGAGUAAAGCAAUUAGAAUAACCUUAAUCCUAGCAACAAAGUUUUUUUUGUAGGUUUUUUUUUUUUGGUUUUUUUUUGUCUUUUUUUUUGCGUUUAAAACAUUUGGGCUAUUCCCUGACGAUCUAU